CUCAAGUAUUGAAGAAGUGUGAAAUUCAUCCCUUACAUUUUAAUUGGUGCAAAUCGGCCCCUUAACUAAUUGAACCGGUGCACCAAUCAUCUCCACCUCGGUUUAACACCGGUUUUGGCCACGUCAUUCGCUGACUAAUUCUUUAGCUCGCGCAGGCUGUAGGCGUUAGGGUAUUUGUUAGGAAGGACGAACGAGGCUCCACCGACAGUAGCCUGAUUCUGUGGACUGACCUAACCAUAUAGCACGUGGCAUGCUCUCAUCCAUAUCUUUACACUUGCCGUCGUUCUAUAUCUCCUGGUUCUCAUCGAACAAGAGAACAGAAGCCACAAGCUCAUUCUUCCCCAACUCAUCCAUGGCAUAGGUGUACACAGAUUCAUGGAGAGAGAUACGGAAGGAGGGUGCUGUUAAGCCAGAUGCGUAUUCCCUCUCUUGAUUUUCCUUCCUUGGCAUUCGAUUUGGCUUCUUCCUUUGUUUAUUUGGAGUUCGUCACUGGUCUCACAUGAGGAAGAAGAGCAAUAUAGCUUUAAUUAGUACAAGAUGGCUCCGUGCGUGCUGCAGGAAAAAUUAAGCAUGCUCCUUCACUGAAUCGGAGCAGCAGUCAGCAGGUUGGAAGAUGAGCGGUGUCCCUUAGGGAGCUUGGUACAAUUGCUUUUCUUCCUCUUCCUUGUACCAUCUGAAUUUUCAUGAGAUCUUUGCCUAAUUCCCUACAUAUUACAUGCUUGGUUAGGUAUAUUUAAGUAAGGUAAAUAAAUCACAGGAAACAUAAGACAUUUAACUAACCAUGCUAUUGUUCCUUGAGGGUGCUCCCGGUGGAAUAUUAUCAUGUGCUUGCGGUGAGGAUUUAACCUGUACUCCACCUUGUGCAGCCUGGUGGGCUUUAUAUGCUUCGCACGUUCUUUUGUUGUGACCAGUACUUUUGCACCAACCACAUUUACUUAUUGUUCCUACCUUCGAUAACUUAGUUGCUUUUGGUUUCUCAUGUCCUUCUCUUGUACGCUCUUUUUUAGGCCUUCCAGGGAGUUUCACAUAACCUGGUGCUACAGGUCUUGGAUUAUCUGAUGUUGGCCAGUGUUGCAUGCCCUCAACAGGUUCUAGGCAAUGUGCAUAUGUCCUCUUAAAAUGUUCUAUGGUGUAACAUUCAGCUACAUAAGCAUCUAGAUUGUUAGUAAGCAAGUGUAUGCAUGAUAUAGCAUGAUGGCAAGGGAGUCCUGACAGUUCCCAGUACCUACAACUGCACUUCCUCUCAUUCAAAUUCACGGUGUAUUUGUGAGUACUAAAAUACUUCACCUCAAACUUGUUUGCACCAUUUGAAAUUGCUUCACAAUUAGCAGUCAACUUGAUGUAAGAAUUCAUUUUCUUGUUGAUAUUGGGACAGAUUAGGCCUGACCAUCUAUCACACUUUGUCCUCUGUUCCUGAAUCCUAACCAUUACCUUUCUCCUAAUGGUUUCCAGCAUAGAAAUGAUUGGAAAAAAUCUUGCUUCAACAAUCCACUUGUUGAAGCUCUCACAUAUGUUAUUGUCUACACUAUCACAGUUGGAUCCUAAUCUGAAGUAAGCUCUGGACCAGUGUUCAGGAGUUGUUUUAAGAAUAGCAUUGGCUCCUUCUCUUGUUUUUUGUGCAAGCUUAGCCCUAGCCAAAUUGAACAACUGAACAUUUGGUGCCUUUGCACAUCUCCAAAAGAGUUUCUGCCACUCCUUUGUCUUGUAGGUUUUCCUCCAGUUGGCAUAAAUAUGCCUUGCACAAUUUCUAUGUUCAGCCUGCGGUGCCCAAAAGCUUACAGCAUUGAUAAUGCCCUUUUGCUGGUCAGAAAUUAUCACCCAACCAGUACCAUCACCCAAUUGCACAUCCCUGAAUAACAGAUAACAGAACCAGUCCCAUGAUUCAUUAUUCUCUUUUUCUACCACUGCCCAUGCUAUUGGGUACAUCUGAUUGUUUGCAUCCCUCCCUAAGGCACAUAAUAGCUCUCCAUUUGUUGCGCCUUUAAAGAAGCAACCAUCAAGACCUAUCACUCUCCUACAGCCAGCCAUAAAUCCCUUCUUUAUGGCAUCUAGGCACACAUAAAUUCUCUGAAAAGUAGGCACUUUGAUGUUUGGUUCAAGCUUAACAACAACAGUUGAUCCAGGGUUACUUCUUAGCAAUUCAACUUGAUACUCAUAUAUUUUGCCAUAUUGCCCCUUUGUUGCAUCAAGCCACUUGAGCAUCACAAGCUUCUUGGCUCUCUUCACUUUGUGAAUGCUAACAUCAGCAAACAUUUCCUCUGAAAUAUGAGACUUUAGACUCUCUAUCCUCCAGCUUGGGUUGGCUCUAAUUAGCUUUUCAUAUUUCAUAGCUAUUCUUUUUGCAGUCACUAACUUGUUAUCUUUCCUUUGCGGGCAUGUGUGUAAAUCAUUGAAGGUAGUGAUUUGCCAACUUUCAGAUUUGGUUGUGUUAGAAAGAAGGCAUGUCCAUGAGCAUGUAACCCAAUCACACACAGCUCUAACCCUCUGUAGGUCAUCCUUCUUAAAUCUGAUUAGUUUCUUCUCAUGAAGUCCGUACUUUAUGAUUGCCUCCUUGAAUUGUUGCUUAUCAGUGAAUUUCAUACCCAAAGAGAACUGUGGCACAUCAUGAUUUUCACUGAAUCUAGGAUACCUUGAUUCCCUUUUAACUAAAUGCCCUUCACCAUCAGUUUCAUCAAAUGAAUCAUUAAAGUCAGUUGAGUCCUCAUAUGAACUUCCAUCUUCAUUCUCGCCCCCUACCAUGUUUUUCCAUCCAACUGAUAACCCCUCAAAAUAAAUCUCAUCUAGGUGAUCAUACUUACCCGCUUGGAGCAUCUUCUUGUACUCCCUGAAUUUUUCAGUGAUAACAACUACCUCAUCAUCUUCUUCAGAACAUGAUGAAUCACUAGGCACAUACUCACUGUCAUUGCUUUCUUCCUGCUCUUCUUCAACCUCUUGUACAAUCUGUUUCGUUUUCCUUAUCACAAUCCUUCUAUUCUUAUUUGAAGUUGACUUUGAACUCUCAUAAAAGUCAUUAUCAUUUCCUAUCUCACUGCUUCUGAUUUCUGUCGGUGGAGUAGGCAUACCUGGUGCAACCUGGUUGCUUAUGGCCAUAGCAACUCCGCUGGAUUCAGCAGCUGGGGCUUCAACUAUUCCAAUUUUUUCAACAAAUACCUCUGCGUAACUCCAAUCCAGAAUGGUAUUCUUCAUGAGUUCAAAAUUUGUGUCAUCGUACAACAACAUGAAUCCAUCCCUCAUAUCCUUGCCAGGUAGUAACCAAUGAAAUCUCUUAUCAUCUACGUCCAGCCCAGACACAUCCUUGAAAUGCCCUUUAAGCUCCGGUAGUGACAUCUUGUUGCGCUCAAUGUAUGUCAAGUCGUCAGACCCGCCGAUGUAGUUAACAUUGCCACCACUGCUCGCAAGAUCUCCACCCCAAUGAAAAAUGAACCGCUAGGUAUUCCACUUGAUCCAUUUCCACCCUAGAUGUAGAUAUUCCAGAUGGUCACAAAAGCAAAUAAGUAAUCAUAUAUACUAAAUUAUGCAUUAAUAAAUUGUGAUGCACAUCUUGCAUCUGAGACUUCCAGAUGUUGCGUACAAAGCUUACAACGCUCAUCUCAUCAGGCAUGUUGGAUAAAGAAAGGACUCACCUCAGGGAUCAGACUCCUACGACUGUCAAGAAUCGGCCGCCUCUACCGUUGCCGCCGACUUUGGUGGCGUGAGCGCUAGGGUUCGUGAUUAGGAAACCACCAAAUGGCGUCAGGAUUAGUCACCACGUGACAUAGCUGAUAGAUGAUUAGUCAGCGAAUGACGUGGCCAAAACCGAUAUUAAACCGAGGUGGAGAUGAUUGGUGCACCGGUUCAAUUAGUUAAGGGGCCGAUUUGCACCAAUUAAAAUAUAAGGGAUGAAUUUCACACUUCUUCAAUACUUGAGGGAUGAAAAAUACACUUUUUCCUGAUUUUAUUAUGAUAGUAUGUUUUCCAUAUUUGCAUCGGGAGCAUCCGCAUAGCAAUUUUAUUUUAAUCCAUAACUAUAUAUUGCGCCAGGGUGAUCAUACUCAUUCCGUUAUCGUCAACACUGAGGAGCUAAAAGAUUAUGAUGGUUAAAUUUGUAUCAAUAAAGGCUAGUUUGGGAGUUCGAUUCCCCGCCGGGAUCCCGGCGUUUUCCCCGGGUAGGCGACCCGCGUGGAAACUUCACCCGGGUCUAAUUUUACCACUGUUUGGGAGCUCAUUCGUCGGGGCAGCAUAUCCCGACCCCUGCGAUUUCCCCGGGGGUUCCUCCCCACCUCGAGGGUCCGGGAGAGGCUUCCUCGAGCGUCGUCGCGAGCGAAUCGACCACGGCGGCCACCGCUGCUCCUCCGUCCAGGCGUUGUCAUCCCGCUUCCGUCCAGGCACCACCGCCCCUCCGCUCCGUCUAGGCGCCGCCGCCUUCCGCAUCUGCACCUAGCCACCGCGGAUCUGCCUCCCUGUCGACCGCAGCGCCUCCACAGCAACACCUCGACCUAGGCCAUGCCUUCUGCAUCCGCACAGCAUCUCUACCUCAUCUUCCUCAUCGCCAUAUCGGCGGUGCCCCGGAGCCGCCUUACCUCGCCUGAUCCGUCCCAGCUCGAGCACGACAAGCCAGCAGCCCUCCCCCUCCCCUCCGCCGCAGGCCGCUCCGCGCCACGAGGACCUCGCCAGAGCUGACCCACCUCGUGCGCGACGAGCCGGCGGCCCCUCCCCUCCGCCGCCGCACCUCGCCAUCACCAGAGAUCCACACGCCGCGAACUGACACCGUUCUCGCUUCCUCAGUUCCUCACUAUCCAUUAUGUCUAGGAUUCAGGGUAGGAUUCAGGUAUGCGUUCUUGCUAUUUGCUUACUCUUCUUGCUUGCUCUUGCAGAUCUUGUUGACUUCAAGGUCGUCAUCUCCAAGAUGUGAUGUGUAAUUUAUAUGUUAUAAUGGUAAACACAAGUUUUUUGCUUUGAACCUAUAGGUUAUCAUGGGAAGUCAAGUCUGGAUACUUGAUUCUUUGAAACAUUUGGGCUGUCAUUAGUCUGGUCUGUAGAAUGUACUAGUGAGGGUGUUCUCUUGCUUUUUUGAAUAUUUAGUUGAUAUCAGGUUUCAGGUAAAGUGAUAACCUACUCGUUAAGUUCAGUUGGUAAAUAGCUAUUUAUCUGAACUGGUGGAGGUGCAAAUGGUCUGCUAAAUAGGAUAUUCUAGUAAUCUAGGGCCCCCUUAUUGCCCUUGUCAUAGGCAUUUUAGCAGGUGGUGGGUUCAUUGAUACUAUAGAGUCUCUUCAAGUUAAUUGCAUGAUUUCUGAAUGAAGUGAGUAUAUUUCUUAUCUUCCUUUUUUAUCACUCAAAUUAUUUAUAGGCCUACAUAUAGAUGGUGUUUGAUUUUUAGGAAAGUAGUGGGUGUUAUUUCCAUGGCAAGUUGUGACUUGUACUUCUCAUUUCUGUCUAGAUUGAAUUUUAAGUUUUAGAAUUGCAUGGAACCAUUGUGCUUUGUUGUUUUUUGUAGUGUGAAACAGCCUUACUGUUAACUCGAGGUUGCUUGCUGGAAAGAAACACUAGUACAGGCUACAUGGUUGACCCAUACUUCACCAUACCUGAUAAGUGAUUAGUUUAGGCCUAGUGACCGUAAACUCUGAUCACCAUAUGUAUUUGUUGAGCUAGUGACUAGUACAGGCUACAUGGUUGUGAUUUAUCCUAGUGACUAGGCCUAGUGGCCUAGUGACUAGUUGAGCUGAUUUUCUUAUGUAUUUGUUUGUUUACCACAGUCCUUAUAACCUCUACAUCUAUGGGCUAGUCUUUGAAUCAGUUAUGAUCUUUUGAUUUGUGCUAACAUUUUGACCACCAUUUAUGUCAAGUUUCUCUUUUGGCCAUAUAGUUUUGUUCAGAUGGAUCAAGAUGGCAAAAUUCUACCGUGCCAUGGACUCCUAGUUCUAGGGGUUACUGCUUGUUUGCCUUGUUUUAGCUAAUUUGCUACCUUGCUGUCAUAAUUGAAUUUUUGUUUGUUGGUAUUUAUUUUUCAUAAUCUCUAUUUCCCUCUAGUAUUGGUCUGAAGAACAAUGCAUACAGAAGAAUCAAAUGUGAGGUAGAUUUUUUCUUUUGAGUGCAAAUUGUGUUUGGGCUAGGUGACUAGGCUGUUAUGCAUGAACUGGGUAAUUUUUAUGGCAGACCUUCUGUUCAAUUAUAGCAUGAUCCCUGAAUCUUGCAUGUACUGUUUUUUGAAUUUGCAAUGACUGCAUAGGGUAGGUGUCCUCUUUGUUAAAACCUAACUAUUUAUGUAGUGCAAUAGUGUCCCUGCUGCUAGUUUAGAUCCAUAGAGGGUCUAGUCAUGAAUUAUCUAGAAGAGCUUCCCCGUUAAUGCCUUGUGCCAAAUCUGGUCAUUCUGGUCUGGUAAGUAUUUAUGCUUAUAAAUUAUUAUUUGCACUGUUUGCAUAUGUUGCUUCUCAUGGCAGGUGAUUAACAUUGGACCUUCUGUUCUAGGGAUGUGCCAAGCAAUGCAGGGAAUUUUAUUUACUCCUGAUGAUGAUGCCUAGUAUUGUUUCUUUCUUCCUUUGGCAGCCUGUUCACCGCGUGCUUCUACUUCUGCUGUUAGCCUGCCACGAGACAUGCAAGUGCAGCUUCUGCUUCUGCUUCUGUCUUCAUGAAUUUCUUAAGAAUUUUAUCCUGUUGUGUGAUGGAUGAAUUGGACGUGUUGGGAUUUGAUCGAUGGAAAACUACUCUGGCUUGCAUUGCGAUCGGUUGAGAAUGAAUUGAAUAUAUUUUGUACGUCGCAGAUUUUGAGUUUUCA